GGACCCACGAAAGACAAUUCAAGGAGAUAAACAGGGCAAGCAGGGGCACAGGUUACCCCUCUGUGAUGAAACAGGGCACUCCAAGCCCUGCCUCUACUUGCCUUGGGUAGCUCUUUGAUACCAGCAUCUGAGGACCAA
rnacentral:precursor_RNA from 15 species